rnacentral:rRNA from 1 species
UACGAAGGGGGCUAGCGUUGCUCGGAAUUACUGGGCGUAAAGCGCACGUAGGCGGCUUUCUAAGUCGGGGGUGAAAUCCUGGAGCUCAACUCCAGAACUGCCUUCGAUACUGGAAAGCUCGAGUCCGGGAGAGGUGAGUGGAACUGCGAGUGUAGAGGUGAAAUUCGUAGAUAUUCGCAAGAACACCAGUGGCGAAGGCGGCUCACUGGCCCGGUACUGACGCUGAGGUGCGAAGCGUGGGGAGCAAACAGG